rnacentral:lncRNA from 1 species
GAGGAUCUCGUUCGCACUUCAGGAGCGGAAUUUGUUGGAGUUCAUCAACCCGAGCACGUCCGCCCGGCCGCCGCUGACAGCCCGGGGCGGAGGCGACGGCGGCGGAGCGAGGAGCCGAGGAGUAGGAUCGGGUGAGCAAGGUGGGAAUGGCGACGGGGAGGAGGCUGCUGCAGUUCCGUUCGCUCCUCGCCCAGGAGGCGCUCCGCACAGCCGCGCGACCCAAACCCCAACCAAACCCCCACCGACUCCUCCACGCCC